UCCUUCUCUGGUAAAACCCUCUGGGGCGUGGCUGCCCUCAGUGGGGACCUGGAGUUGGAGGGGAGGCCCUGGGGCCUCAGUCUCCCCAUCUCUGACCACUGCCCUCCAGGAAGCCUGGCCUUUGGGAGGUCACUGACCGCCCAGCCUUCAGGAUGAAGGGGACGUGGGGGUGGAGCCUUCACAGAUCACCCUCCCAGCCGAGGGGCUUCCACGCUGGCGACCACCCUGGGGCCUGAGGAUGAAGCCGAGCCCACUGUGCUGGCCGCUGUCCUGCCUGCUUGUGCUGCUGCCCUGGUCUCUGGCCACUCCAACAUCUACAACCCCUUGGCAGUGCCCACCUGGGGAGGAGCCCAACCUGGACCAGGGGCAGGACACAUUAUGCAGGUCCUGCCCCCCGGGCACCUUCUCAGCCUCAUGGGGCUCCAGCCCAUGCCAGCCCCAUGCCCGCUGCAGCCUUCGAAGGCGGCUGGAGGCCCAGCUGGGCACGGCAACUCAAGAUACACUGUGUGGAGGCUGCCAGCCUGGGUGGUUUGGGCCUUGGGGGGUCCCCCGAGUUCCAUGUCAGCCAUGUUCCUGGGCACCUCUUGGUACUCGCGGCUGUGACGAAUGGGGGCGGCGAGCCCGGCGUGGUGUGGAGGUGGCCGCAGGGGCCAGCGGCGGUGGUGAGACGCAGCAGCCUGGGAACAGCACGCGGGCGGGCGGCCAUGAGGAGACAGCCGCGCAGUACGCGGUCAUCGCCAUCGUGCCUGUCUUCUGCCUCAUGGGGCUGCUGGGCAUCCUGGUGUGCAACCUCCUCAAGCGGAAGGGCUACCACUGCACAGCUCACAAGGAGGUCGGGCCCGGCCCCGGCGGGGGCAGCAAUGGAAUCAACCCUGCCUACCGGGCCGAGGAUGCCAACGAGGACACCAUCGGGGUCCUGGUGCGCCUGAUCACAGAAAAGAAAGAGAACGCCGCGGCCCUGGAGGAGCUGCUGAAAGAGUACCACAGCAAGCAGCUGGUGCAGACGGGCCACCAGCCUGUGCCCAGGCUGCCACCGGCGCGCCCCAGCAUGCCCCACAUCUGCCCACAUCGCCACCACCUCCACACCGUGCAGGGCCUGGCCUCACUCUCUGGCCCCUGCUGCUCCCGUUGUAGCCAGAAGAAGUGGCCAGAGGUGCUGCUGUCCCCUGAGGCUGCAGCUGCCACCUCUCCUGCUCCUAGCCUCCUGCCCAAUCCAGCCAGGGCUCCCAAGGCCGGGGCCAAGGCAGGACGCCAGGGCGAGAUCACCAUCUUGUCUGUGGGCAGGUUCCGUGUGGCUCGAAUUCCCGAGCAGCGGACAAGUUCUGUGGUGUCUGAGGUGAAGGCCAUCACAGAGGCUGGGCCCUCGGAGGACGACCUCCCUGACUCCCCACGACCUGGCCUACCCGCUGAGCAGCGGGCACUGCUAGGAAGUGGCGGAAGCCAUGCGAAGUGGCUGAAGCCCCCGACAGAGAACAAAGCCGAGGAGAACCGCUAUGUGGUCCGGCUAAGUGAGAGCAACCUGGUCAUCUGAGGGCUGCCUGGGCUGAGAGCACUGCAGCCUGCCCCGGGAGGUUCUGGCGGCUUCCUGGAGGAGGUAGAGCCGCAGCGGGACUGUGAGGACCAAGAUGCGAUGGCUCAGCAGAAGAAACAGUGAAGGCCACGGCCUGGAGGUGGGACCGUCCGCCCCAGUGAGGAGCAAGGCGGGUCGGCGAGCGCCGCGUGCAGGAGCAGAUUGAGAGCCCCGUCCCCGUCCCUGCUGCCUCGGCUCCUCGCCUGCAGGAUGCUCCCGACCCCGUGCCUGCACUGGCCAGAUCUAGGAGCCCACGGGAUUCCCUGUACCGCCGGGGGCUAGGCUUGGUGGGAGGCAGGGGCCUGUGUCUGGCGCGCCUGGCCCCCUCCCUUGGUAAUUAGCCACUCCUCUGUCCCUGUACAGGCCCUGGAGCAGAUGCGCCUCCCCCUCCUCUUCUGGCAGGUCUUGUAAAGGGAAGGGCAACAGAAGCCCUGCGCUGGGAGGCUGAGUUGUCCUGGGUUCUGACCUUGGGCACGCUCCCGGCCAUUGCUGGGUCCUGGUGUUUCUGACUGUGAGCUGGUAUGUGCUUUACACAUCUCGAUAUGAACUAGCGUAUUUCAAGGGCUCACCAGCCACAUGUGGCCAGCAGCCGCCCCACCGGACAGUGCAGUUCUAGUGGCAGCGCCGUGUGGAGCCUGGGAGGCGAGAGGCGGCUGACCCUCAGCCAGCCAAACCACCCACUUCACCCAGGACUUGGGUGGCACAUCACCACACGGGGACAGACUCUCAGGCCUCAGCCUCCUUCCCCAGGGAAGGCUGGCCUGCGGCCCCCAGAUGCCCUCUUCCCCACCUGCGUGCCCUCCUUGGGAGAAGCCAUAUAGAUGCGAGCCAGGGUGGAGACCGAGGCGGGUCCAGGCUUCCCGGGCCAGGUGUGAACACCUCCAUCACAGUAACCACUGUCCCCCCACCCCAAUUUUCUGCCUGCUGAAAGGUGAGAAAGGUAUGGCCCUGGCUUCAGUUUCUUCACCUGUCCUUCGGGGUGUUGAGGCCAGCUCCAAAAAGAGUGGGAUGAAGAGCUGAGGUAUCACGUCGGGGUGUGUCUGACGUCCUUGGUCUUGAGGGCUCACACCCUCACCUGGAAGCUUUCCUGGCUUGUCCUGUCCCUGCAGCCCUGUCAGCUCUUGAGCUCAAGAUAGGUCCAGGCCACUGGCAGAAGUGGGAGCUGGGGUCAGGGUGGGGCUUGGGCUGGCCACUGAGGGGGUGUUCUGAGCUUACCUCUCACGCCACUCACCCUCCACCCCAAGGGCCAGAAUGGUGGGGGCUGGGGCCCAAGGCUCCACCUCUCCAUCUGUUCCCGGCCCUCAGCCCUGUCACUGUGACCUGGAGCCUCUGGGAGAGGCUGGCACCGGAGAAACUGACUGCUGUGACACAGCCCCAGCAAUGCCUGUGGCCAGAGAGUGAUCACUAUCUGAUCUUCAAAACAAAACGAAACGAAAACCCAAAAGAAUCCAGAACAACAAAACAAAACCAGAUUUACACGUCAUACGCACAAGCGAGGCCCUGGGGCUUUCCAAUCUUUACCCUCCAGGCUGUGUUUUGGAAACACCUAUAAAUCUUUGAUUAAACUACGUGGAAGACACCGGUCAAAGGUUUAUUAUUAUUAUUAUUAUUAUUUUAAAUGUUUAUUUCUUUUUAAAAUGUGAGUUCCA